rnacentral:lncRNA from 1 species
CAUCACAAUUUACAUAAUAGGGAAUUACAUUACAAGAGUUUAUAAAAGUAGUACAAAAUUUCCAACUUAGAGAAAACAAUACAACUGUUUAAGCUAUGAUUUUUAGCAGCGGAAAAACAUACGCGAUGAUCUACAGCACGUCGACAAGACGGAUGUCAUGCUAACCCCGGGCACGACAUCACCCGGUAUCACCAAUGUUGGUCGGGGACGGAUCCCAUUCCACGGACCAACCUUCUGGAAGAGCACAGGGCCAAGGCAAGGAAAGAGUAGGGUCUUCACAGAUAUCACCU